UACGAAGGGGGCUAGCGUUGUUCGGAAUCACUGGGCGUAAAGGGCGCGUAGGCGGCCCGAUCAAGUCGGGGGUGAAAGCCUGUGGCUCAACCACAGAAUUGCCUUCGAUACUGUUUUGGCUUGAGACCGGAAGAGGUGAGUGGAACUGCGAGUGUAGAGGUGAAAUUCGUAGAUAUUCGCAAGAACACCAGUGGCGAAGGCGGCUCACUGGCCCGAUACUGACGCUGAGGUGCGAAAGCGUGGGGAGCAAACAGG
rnacentral:rRNA from 1 species